AAGUCGUAACAAGGUUUCCGUAGGUGAACCUGCGGAAGGAUCAUUACAAAUAGAGGGGAUCUGGUUGUUGGUGGGAAUGGGGUAAGGGUUAGAGUGCUAGAGUGCUAUAGAGUGCUUUGCCUCUACUUUACUCUGCCUGCCUGGCCAGACCACAUUAGCACGGGGGGGGGCUGACUCGCACAGAGCUAGCUAGCUACCUACCCCGAUGUUUACGCUUGUUUGUUUGACAAAGUAACAUUGACCCAAAAUUCUAUACAACUUUUAACAAUGGAUCUCUUGGCUCUU
rnacentral:misc_RNA from 1 species